rnacentral:rRNA from 1 species
AUUGAACGCUGGCGGCAUGCCUUACACAUGCAAGUCGAACGGCAGCACGGGUGCUUGCACCUGGUGGCGAGUGGCGAACGGGUGAGUAAUACAUCGGAACAUGUCCUGUAGUGGGGGAUAGCCCGGCGAAAGCCGGAUUAAUACCGCAUACGAUCUACGGAUGAAAGCGGGGGACCUUCGGGCCUCGCGCUAUAGGGUUGGCCGAUGGCUGAUUAGCUAGUUGGUGGGGUAAAGGCCUACCAAGGCGACGAUCAGUAGCUGGUCUGAGAGGACGACCAGCCACACUGGGACUGAGACACGGCCCAGACUCCUACGGGAGGCAGCAGUGGGGAAUUUUGGACAAUGGGCGAAAGCCUGAUCCAGCAAUGCCGCGUGUGUGAAGAAGGCCAUCGGGUUGUAAAGCACUUUUGUCCGGAAAGAAAUCCUUGGCCCUAAUACGGUCGGGGGAUGACGGUACCGGAAGAAUAAGCACCGGCUAACUACGUG